GGGGUCCUGGCAGCGGUGGCGGAGCAGGAAUAGUGAAUUGACCGGACGUGUUGCGAAAGAGGUGCUUUCGGUAAGUCAUCUCCCCCCUUCCAAGAGGAACUGUUUAUUUGCAUGCAGUGUCUGUUCCAGUGAAUCAUAUAGGUUACCAUCAUAUGUAUGGAUAUAGGUUAUAGUGCGUCUAUGGUGGGCGUUAGGCCGUUUAAGUAACGUUUAAUUAUGUGCUUUAUUUAAUUGAUUUCUUCUAUGACGUUUCCAUAAUGUUACAAUCAUCACGCGUCAUUUGUCAAAUGUUUAAUUGUUCUUAACUUGUUAGAAGGUGUUUUCUUAUUAAAGGCAAAACAAGAAUUACGCAUGCCCGUGAUUUGAUUGUUACGAUGCAGUGCGCAGUUUCCAGCGUUGUAUCCAACGUUACCCGGAAAUAAGCAAGGUAUUUGCUCUCAGCUGUUUCCCCUAUAAAAACAUGUCUGAGCGUAUUUGUGCUUCAUUCUCAUCCUCGGAGCCAGUGAGAAGCAAAAGGGAGCAGGGUGGGAUGGAGAGGUGUGCUGGAUGCUUGCUGCAGGAGGAUGUUGCGCACUUCAAUUUACCUCAGGAGUGAGUGGUCUGUGCAUCCAUGCGGUACUGCGUAAUGGCUUAAUUUAUGAGGUAGGUGUUGUUAUUGUCUGUAUCUAUGUUGUUUUUUUGUUUAUUAUUAGAAGUGUAGACUUGAAUAUAAUUGAUUUAGCUCUUGAUAUCUUUUCAUGUGAAGAUUAUAAGUAGCAGGAUACUAUUUUUCAUUCAAAGUUACAUAGGAGGGAGGAAAUACUUUAAACAAGGGUAUUAUCAAGAAAAAUCAUAAGGAAAUCUUUACAUUUUUGCAACUUUUUCAGGAGAUUUAUAUUCUAGGCUCCUUACUAUGAAUUGUGUUAUUAUUGUGCACCUGUCAGAGUGUGUCCUGCUGUGUAUAAUUUCCAGCUAAGCGUACUGUAUUUUAAUUGUAACAUGUUUAAAGAAAUGUAAAAUUAGUUACCACUUCAUUCAAUAGCCGUUUGCUGUGUGUAGGCCUAAAGUUUUAUUUAUGUAAGACUGUUUUUCCCAUUUGCUCAUUUGCAGAAAUAGAUUUCAUUCAUUGAGUUUUUAAAUACGUAUUAUUGAUUUUCUCUAAAGGCUCAUUUUGGUUGUUUGUAAACAUAUAGUGCGUUCGCCUGCUGUGCCAAUGUGCCUUGACUCAGCUUCAUCCAUCCAGAGGUUUCUAUGUCAUACGCACUUUUUAUUCCUGAUGUAAACAAAUCUCCAAAAGCAAUACUCUCAUUUAACACUGGAUGGCGUAUUUCUGCAGGGUUAGAUCUUCUACUGAAGAUGAAGUUAUCAGAGUCAGAUAUUAUAUGGGGAAGUAAUGAUGCACCACUACACACUGAAGAGGGACUGGCACAUCCAUCUGAUGUGCUCUGGAAAAAAUGGCCCGAGAUCUGUUGACGUCAAAACUCCAGACUGACUGCAGUCGGCUGACCAAUUGAUUUGCUGACUGCUUCAAAGGAACAAGGGAAAUAAGGUAUUACUUUCAACUUUCUAUAAAAGGUAAGAGCCUCUGAGCCAGAACACUUCACAGCAAACACAGGCAGCAACAUCUAGGAUGAACGGCACAACAGUGCAGCAGCUCACUGUUCAUAUCAGUUACUGUCAAAAAGUCCAAACUGAAUAACAGUUGGCCAGCUUCAUAUUUGCAUUACUUAAAUACAGGAUGUGGCCUGUGAUCAGCAGUCAUGUGCAUAAAUACAACAUAAAUUACCAAAGUUUACGAAACAAAACAGCAUCAAAGUGUUAUAUCUGUACAAAGGUCACUUUACAUUAUAUCUGUACAAAGGUCACUUUUGUCUGACUUUGUCCAACAAUGCUAGAGACUGUUGAGCUGAGGGGAAACAUUACAGUUCACUGUGUUGUAUGUUUGACAUGUCUCAAAAAAAUGAUUUUCUUCAUCGCACCUGUUCAACCUUUUUCAUCACGCAGUGCGUGAUGCUGGAACACAUGCUGACAUCCCCAGAGAGAGCCUGUAUGUAUACUUCUGAGUGGUAACUGCUAACCAGGUAAUAACCGAAAAAGAUGACACUGUUUAAUUUCAAUUAAAAACUGUCAUUUUGUCCAAAUGUAUGUGUGGGUGCAUUCAGGAGCAAUGCCCAUUGUUCCCAAUACAGCCAAAAACAAUAUCAAUGGAGCUGACUGGGCACCUUUCCAAAGGAGGGAUUAAGGUUUAGGAAGUGGAACAGGCAUGGCUGAUAGAUGACAUGGCUAAAAUUAACACACUGCCCACUGGAUAAGGAGCAUAAAUAGCAGGCAGCAAGGCCCAGCACUUGGAUGUAUCUUUAAAGCUGUAGUGUGCCAGUGUAAACACAAACCACUGUCAAAGUAAAACCACAUAUUCUCAUUAGAUGCUACAGGCUGUAGUAUGUUGGAAAAAGCAAGAAGUUGUCAGCAAUGCUGCAAUAUCUGUAAUCACUGGGUAUGGAUAUAGUAGAACCACCACAGGCAUAUGAUCGCAUUUAAUAUAAGACACAUUAAAUGCAUCAGUUAUUUGAUAAAGUGUGCAAAGUAAUACAUUUUAAAAUGUAAAUCUUUAAUCUGAUUUGAGGAGGAAACGGAGCACCGAACACAGCCAAGUGCUCAACUUGCAUUCUUAUUCCUUCGUGCUAUUGUAGUUAUCGGGCAUGGGAUGCACAUAUAGACUGAGGAAGUCUUUGUACUAGAAGAGCAGAUAGACCUCAAUGCUCCGAUCAAUACCCUCAGCAUAUACCAGUCUGCUCAGAGCAAACAUGCUUUGAUCCCUCAGAUCCCUUACAUUUCCCAUAUAGCUUGAGGUUGAAAGCUGAUUCUUUUACCGAUGAUCUCCUUUCUCAGUCCUGUAAGGUGAAGCUGUGGGCUCCAUAUCCCCUGGCUCUGGUGGGGAAUUAGGACAUCACAAACUACAAGUGCUUUAGGGAAGAAAAUUUACGGCCACAUAAAAUGCCAGAUGAAAAUCUAGACUUGUAACUAGAGGAUAAUCGAAAAUUUAAGACCAGCAGUUCUGAUGUUUGGAAUAAAUAUUGUCCCCUGUGGAAGUAUUCUUCCAAGUUUUUAAGUUUUUAAAAUUCUGAAUUAUUUAUUGAGGCACUUGUUGAAUGCACACAUUGUCAUAUAUCUCUAUAAUAAAUGUGGUUGUGAGCUAACUUUGUUUACCCUUUGUUAACUGAGACAAAGCUUUUAUUUCAGCUUAGCAUAUAAAGGGGACUUUAUGCUUCAGAAAUGCAGACUGACCUAAUAGGCACAGCCUUGUUGAGAACAGACAAGCUCAUGAAAGAGACAGAACCGAGCUUGUUCCUCUUAUUGCCCCGCUGGACACUGUUUUCAGCGUUGCUGCUAAAGCUACACCAACACAAAUGGGAUAAUUUGACAUAUUUAAUUAUAUUCUGCUAUAACAGAUUCAAACAUUUUCUUUCAUUGGACUGUCCCCAGACAAAUUAUGGAUGUAGAUUGUGAGAAUUCAUUCACAGUGUAUUUAUCUUGACUUGAACAUUGUAUAUAAUAGAAUCCUAGUAUAGUUUGACCCCUUUGUUGUUCAUAUGUCAUGCAACAGCCCAAAUAACCUGCAGCACUGUCCUUUGACUCACAUUCAGUGAUUGUUCAUUUUCAGGGCAUUAAUUUUUAAAGUUUUGCAUUCUAAAAGGUGUUUUUGUCUUUUCAUCUUCCCUCAGCUCCAACUGUGAUUUACAAAUGAUCUGAUCAAGGUAUGUGAACUAUCAGAUAAAACUGCAAAGACCCAAGUUCCUAAAAUAAACUCUGCUAAUGUUCGACUGAACUAAAACAGACUAUUUAUAAGACAGGAACACAGUCCGUUUAAAGGAACAGCUACAUUCCUGCUUUACAUUUAAUACACGUGCAUUAAUAUUAAACUAUCAUGUAUUCAUUGACAGUCAUGCUUUUUUUUUUUUUAAAUCUUAUUAUCAUUUUACAAGAUUCAUGAUUUUGUAACUGGAUAACAGUGUUACUUUGAAUAGAAACAGUGGAUAAAACGGUGCUCUGUUUCCUUUAGAGCAGAACUGUGGUAGGAAGCAGCCAGAACGGAAAGAGGAAGCACAUGGGGUAGCUCUAUUCAUGCUUAAGAGUCAGAGUGUCGUUAUGAUGGUUGAUCACCUCACAGUGAAUACUUUUUUUCAACGCUUGCCCCACUCUGGCGGUAAAAAGUAGUAACACUGACUGUGGAACACCAUGUAUUCUACUUCAGAAAUCACUAUAGUAACCAACAUAUGGGUAUUACAAAAGAAUCAAAACAACGUAAACCAGAGCACCGUGUAAAUAUUCCCUUUGGUGCAGACUCAAAGAUAAGUGGAAUCCCUCAUUAGACUGUAUUUAAAAAGCCAAAAGACCAUCUGAGUGCUUAUGCAACUGAUACUAAGCUGGUGAUGUGCCUUUAAAACCAGUAGGAUGUCAGGUGAUCGAGGAGACUCAGUCAGCUCGGCCUCACAGACAGAGGAGCACAGAGUGUGUCUCUAGCCGAGAGCAGAGGAGAUCGCCAGAGAGGAGGGCAGCCGAGAGGCAGAGAGACCCAAUUAUAAGGGGACAUAGGGGGAAAUGGGAACACAACAACGUCACAGAGUGUGGGACAGGGAGCCAUGGUGGUAGGGUCCCUUUAACUGCAGUCUGCUCAUGCUCACUGGCCUUGUGUGGCAGCUAGCAAGUGUGUUUGUGGCUCAGCUUGAUCAAGAAGUUGGGUUGUGUAGUCACAACUGGUAUAAAAGCACAGAGAAUUAAGUGCUGCGUCACACCCGGGCAGAGGAAUAGCGUGAUCAAGCGCGCAUGUGCACGACUGCGUGUGUGUGUGCGUGCGUUUCUGUGUCUCUGUUUCUGUGCAUAUGUGUCAGUUCGAAGUAGCAGUCUAAUAGCAGUUUAUGCUGUUGCAACCAGAUGAAAAUAAAGAGUGCGUGUGUUUGAGAGGCAAGCAGAAAGGGAGAGAGAGGAGAUACAGAGAGGGAGGGAGAGCAAGUCAGAGAGUGAGUGAGAGAGAGAGAGAGAUUUUGGAUUAGUUGCUACGUCACUUUUUCAUGUCAGGAGAAACAGAAGCUGAGAUAACAGAAGCCCAGAGUCAUCGAGUUUUCCACCUGAAGUCGACACAGUGGUUUCGGACAACCUCGGCUUUCUCCUCCUCUUCCUCUUCCUCCUUGGUAGUUUUGAUCAGCUCUGCCUGUCGCUACUAUAUAUAUGUGUGUGUGUGUGUGUCUGUGUGUGCUGUAUAGUUCCUGUGAGCUGAUAUCGGGAGUUCUAACAUGGAUGCUGAUGAUGUGACACAGUUUCUCUAGGUCUUGUUUUGACAGCAUAGUGUGUGUGUGUGUGUGUGUGUGUGUGUGUACGCGCGUGUGUGUGUGUGUGUGUGUGUUGGGCGGCCAGAGGUGCGACAAAGGGGUUAACAAAAGAAUAUUCUGGAAGGUUCUUAAUAUCACAGCGAAGCUCAGUCAGGAAUGUUUUAUCGAGGUAUUCGAUUACCAUCACCUUCAGGAAUACGGAUGAUUUCCGCAAAUAGGUGAAUACAGUCAUGCAUGGUGCCGUCUGACCUGUUAUGAAACUGUAUUAUACGUGUAGUACACCAUCGUAUGGGGGUGUGGAGCCAGGUGGACAUUACAGCAGCCUUCAAAGGUUACAGGAUAAGUUUGUUGUUGAAUUCAGCCAACAGGGUGAUAUUUUAUGUCACUACAUAUGUACAUAUAUGUUCCUGUGUUUGAACUGUUGGCCUACUUGUUGUGGUUAACUCUUAAUGGAGUUAAAGGAAAGAGUGAGCAUGAAGAGAGAGACAGAGAGAGAGAGGCAGGCGUGUAUUUAGGCAGACUGGUUGGCAUCCAGCUGUAUGUUGCCAUCUGACAACAGAUCAGCUUGAUGUCUGUGGCUAGUGGCACUUUUGUCAUGUGAUUUGUUUUCACCCUCCAGGGCCACUGGGAUUUGGCAGAACCCUUCCCAAGACACAUUUGUUUCUGCGUAGUUAGGAGAGACAGAGAUGGUGACGCAGUCAUUUCUGGGCCGGACUUCUUUUCAACCAGCUUGUAUCUCUCCCUCUCUCUAUCUGUUUAUCUCUCUAUCUGUCUCUCUCUUGGAGAAAGGGGACAACAGAAGGGGCUAAAUGUCAUGGCUCAGGAUCAGAGAGAGAGAGAUUGAGAAAGAGAAGGGGGAGAAAGACAGACGAGUUGUUUACCUUGCUCUCUUGGUGACUCUGCUUUGGCUUCUCUCCAGUUCACAUGCACUGGACUUCCUAAAGCUGCUGCAUCACAGGCCUUCGUGCCAAAUCUGGGUUCUCAUUGGAUGGGAGGAGCUCCUCUGGCUCCUCAAGCUGCACAGCAGUGCUUUAUUGGCUUAGUAUAAGCACGCAGCUGGAGUUCAACAUCUGAUUGGUUAAGAAUCAUUGUUCUCUUAUACAAAGGUUUGGCAGUUCCAAAAACACCUUUCCAUGGUUCCAUGGGUACAAUGGAUGUUUAUAUAGGUGGAGCUGUUGGUCUAUUGUUACGUUGUAGAACGUUAACUGGGAAUUUCUGUUAAAAUUGGUAAUAUUUGUUUCCUUUAACAGUUAAGAAUGCUUGAAUUUGCUUUUUAACAUCGCAUUUGUGCAUGUGACCUGCUGUGCACCAACAGUUAAUUGGAAUUAAUUAACAGGAAGAGUACCAAUAGAACAGUCCUCCAGAACGCACUCUGAUACCUGUGAUGGGGGGGCAGUCAUCGGAAGGAUUUAAACCCCUUGACUAGAGAGGUCUUCUCGUUCUCCUGUCCAACGUCGAAAAGAUGCCACCUUUCUGAGAUGAUGCAAGAGCGAGUGUGGCUGCCCGUGGUCUGCAUUGCAGCUCCUGCUUCUACAGUCAGCGUCUUUGUGUCUCUUUUUUUCUCACUUGCCCUCUUCUAAAUGUGCUGAUGGCAUAAUGUACUAUUGCUACCUUUUUAGUUUUCCUUUCUAAAUGAUUAUAAAGAUGAAGACAAUUCUUAGCAUCAGUUCUCCCCCAGUCACCUCACCUCUAGUGGGGUCAUUCCUUAUGAAUGAGUUUACACUACAGUCUACCAGUGUAGACUACACAAGGCAUAAUCGUGACACAUUCAGAGACAGAAGUGGGAUUCAUAGAGGAUUCAUAACACGUUUUUUUUUUUUUUUAACCGUAAGUUGGAUUUUAACUUGCUAACAAAUUGCUUAUUGUGCAUGUUUUGCUGCAGUUUGCUCACUCAGCAAUAUUCCCGUUUCUCUCUAAAUAAGGACCACUGUGAACAUAUUCUCCCCUAUGGGUUUCCCCAGUGAUUCACAGUUCCUUCGUGAUCCUGUCGUUGACUGCUAUCUGAAGGCCUUCUGUCCCUUUAAAUCUUUUAUAAGCAUUACACAACAGGUCCAGUGGCACACAAGCAACAAACAACCCGAAAAAGAAAACUGACAGGGUUGGGUUGAGCCAGCCAGGCAAAGGAACCAGACACCUACGAACAGACAGGCCCUCUGAUCAGAGUCGUCACUGUGACUACAGUGCAAACACACACACACACACACUUGUACACUCUCACACACAGCCCCGACAAAAAAAUGGCUUAGCCUGGCCCAUCUGAAGCCUGAUAAGGGCUGUGGGGAUUACUGUAAAAAUCAAAGUAAAUCGCAUCUGAUGUUUUGAGGCUGGGGUUAGGCUUCCCUGAUUGGACUUUAAUCAGUUUCAAGAAAAGUAGCAUUUAUGGGAGUUGUCAUUGUAAACAUGGGAAAAAUAAGGCAGACUGUUUUGUGUGUCCUCUGGAGAGGGGUUUGAGGAAGGAAGAUGAAUUGGCAGUUGUCUUUUUACCUCCAUGCAAAGAGUAAAAACUGCAAGAGGAAAAAGGGAUAUUAGAAUAGGCUGGGUAGUAUUGUACUUUGUUGAAGCACUUGGCAAGAAGUCAGUGAACUGGCCACUACCUGUCCUUGCCCCACCCUCUCAGUGUAUGGUAGCUGCAUGCCUGCGUCAUGGCUCUCAUUCCCAGCGACUGACUGCCACUUCCUUGCUUUUUCCCUCGUAGUGGCUGGAGAGCAACGGGCUAUCGUCCUCACUAUUCUACCGAGCAACGGAGAGGAUUUAUCGAGGUCUGUCUGCAUAGCGCUGCAGGUGAGCCUGUAUGUGAAAGACAUGCAGUGGCAGUGUUUUGUAUGUCUGUUCUUGUGUGGCCCCUCACACAUCCGCGAAGCUUGGAUCAAGUAUCAGAUCAGUCGUGUGGGUGUAUUAGAGAGACAUAGAU